rnacentral:rRNA from 1 species
GACGAACGCUGGCGGCGUGCUUAACACAUGCAAGUCGAACGAAGUGGCGAACGGGUGAGUAACGCGUAAUCAACCUGCACUUCAGAGGGGGACAACAGUUGGACACGACUGCUAAUACCGCAUACGGAAGGAGGGGCUUGCGUCUGAUUAGCCGGUUGGAGGGGUAACGGCCCACAAAGGCGAUGAUCAGUAGGCGGGCUGAGGGGAUGAACCGCCAAAUCGGGACUGAGAAACGGGCCAGACUCCUACGGGAGGCAGCAGUGGGGAAUCGUUCGCAAUGGACGAAAGUCCGACGGAGCAACGCCGCGUGAGUGAUGAAGGCCUUCGGGUUGGAAAGCUCUGUUAAUCGGGACGCGGUACCGGAAUAGAAAGCCACGGCUAACUACGUGCCAGCCGCCGCGGUAAUUC